rnacentral:rRNA from 1 species
GCACAAGCGGUGGAUGAUGUGGUUUAAUUCGAUGCAACGCGAAAAACCUUACCUACCCUUGACAUGUCUGGAAUCUUUUAGAGAUAGAAGAGUGCCCGAAAGGGAGCCAGAACACAGGUGCUGCAUGGCUGUCGUCAGCUCGUGUCGUGAGAUGUUGGGUUAAGUCCCGCAACGAGCGCAACCCUUGUCAUUAGUUGCUACAUUUAGUUGGGCACUCUAAUGAGACUGCCGGUGACAAACCGGAGGAAGGUGGGGAUGACGUCAAGUCCUCAUGGCCCUUAUGGGUAGGGCUACACACGUCAUACAAUGGCCGGUACAAAGGGCUGCCAACCCGCGAGGGGGAGCUAAUCCCAUAAAACCGGUCGUAGUCCGGAUCGUAGUCUGCAACUCGACUGCGUGAAGUCGGAAUCGCUAGUAAUCGUGGAUCAGCAUGUCACGGUGAAUACGUUCCCGGGUCUUGUACACACCGCCCGUCACACCAUGGGAGCGGGUUCUGCCAGAAGUAGUUAGCCUAACCGCAAGGAGGGCGAUUACCACGGCAGGGUUCGUGACUGGGGUGAAGUCGUAACAAGGUA